rnacentral:tRNA from 1 species
CUCUCAAGGCGGAGAUCACGAGUUCGAAUCUCGUACGGGCUA